ensembl:lncRNA
GGGAAGGCAGGGCCAACCCAGGGAGCUCAGGUGCAUGCAAUGUACUGAGUGAUGGAAGGGCUGGAGCCACGAUCCAUUCCUGCCCAGACCUCACUUAAGGGUUGAUAGUGGAGGUGAGGGUAUUUUGCUAGAGAUCUCUGUAUAUCUGAGGCCUUCCAAAGGCAAGGCCCACGUGUGGAGAAAAGGAACCACCUCCAUGGAAGGGUCAGAGGAACAAAGGAAGGAGUGAAUGGAGGUCAGCUGGCACCAGGGUAUGCUCGGAUCCAUCGUGCCUUAGGAACGGCUCCCAGCCCACUUCUGGCAUUUAUCUCACAGAACAGCCACGUUAAAAAUAAACACAGCUUGCACCAGCAUCCCCAGCCACUGCACGGGGCCCUGCCAGGAGAACACAGCAAGCUGCAGCCAGCAGAGUGAGCUUGGAAAGGAGAAAGGGCUUGGGGACUUCAUUUUGUCACCAAACAUACUGCGAUGUAAUAUUCAGAGCAUUUGGAUUUGAUAUUUCUGCCUCGUGUUGGUAUAUUCCCUACAAGAGACAGCAGAACGCAGGGGGCAAUCGCUACCAAGUUGGUUUGGAAUCAGCAGUUCUUGGUUUGUGCAUUUCAAACUGCACUCACACACGGGUGGGCACACUGCACAUGCCUGAUGUGCUUUUCUCAUCUCUAAACUCAUGACGAAUCCUUCCCCUGUCUUCAGCUUCUUCUGAUGGGAUUGAAUAAAGCCAUGUGAAACACUCCCCCGUCUGUGAGCAGACCCCCAGCACCCGGCUGCCAUGCAUGCUUAGGAGGGGGUCACCAAUAAACCCCCAGUGCCAAACGUUUCGGAACACAACGUAACACACUGAAAUCUCUGCUGAGCUGUUGUGGCUCAAGCACAGUGCUGAGGGAGUGCUGCCCUGCAUCCCCCAGGUGGGGACACCGCACCGACCGUCGUGCUGCCCCAGCUGUGCGUCACGGCUGCAGUGAAGUUGUUGGACAAAGGCAUGUGGAAGUGGGUGAGUGUGGGCAUGAGAAAGUAGGAAAAGUAUCUUUUUUUCCCGUGCUGUUUCAGUACAUGCUGAGGAAAUCGAGUGAGAGGCAGAGAUUGCCAGCUCUUAACUGCUAAAGAUAUUUGCAAGAGUCAUUUCCGCAAAUGUCUCCCAUUCCAUAUAUAGAUCCAUAGAGUCUGUGCUUCUAAUGGACUGACAAAUGUACCAUAACCCCGGAUGACUGUUGCUUCAUUGCUUGGCUAUACAGAUAAGAGGAAUGCUUCCUUUUGAUUGAGAUCUUAAAUC